CCAGAAUGUCUAUUUUUUGGUGGUUUCCGCUCCCCUCUGAAAUGAAGGGUGUGGGCUUUGUGGAUGUGCCCUAAUUUCGAGCUGGCCGCGAUUCAGCUCUGGCCUCUCGGCGCAUCGUUUUCCACAAAACGCGGUUAGGAAAGGAGCCCCGGGCUUCCGAAUGGAGCACACACCCGCGGAAAAGCCACGUGGGCACAAAGUUAAAGUUCCCAUUUCUGCCAGGGAGGGGCCCGGACCUAACGACAGGUUUGAAGUGAAAAGGAGCACAUUCUUGAGGGUCCUCCCUCUCCUGACAUGCCACCGAUUUAGGCGCAGGGAACACGAUCUAAGAUACGGAAUAAGAACCAGAUGCGUGCAAAAAACAUACCUCUUCUUCCUGUGGCCUGUUCCCGUCUUCCUUCCUCUGGUUCCUGCAGUACAGCAACAAACCCAACCAUCGACCUGAGUGAUUUAGGAUAAGCCCGGUUCCCUCUCCAGGAUGGGUAUCUUCACGUGUAAGAUGUAGGGGUCAGUACGGA